rnacentral:rRNA from 1 species
UCAGGCCUAACACAUGCAAGUCGAACGGCAGCACGGACUUCGGUCUGGUGGCGAGUGGCGAACGGGUGAGUAAUGUAUCGGAACGUGCCUAGUAGCGGGGGAUAACUACUCGAAAGAGUAGCUAAUACCGCAUACGCCCUACGGGGGAAAGGGGGGGAUCGCAAGACCCCUCACUAUUAGAGCGGCCGAUAUCGGAUUAGCUAGUUGGUGAGGUAAAGGCUCACCAAGGCGACGAUCCGUAGCUGGUUUGAGAGGACGACCAGCCACACUGGGUCUGAGACACGGCCCAGACUCCUACGGGAGGCAGCAGUGGGGAAUUUUGGACAAUGGGGGCAACCCUGAUCCAGCCAAGCCGCGUGUGCGAUGAAGGCCUUCGGGUUGAAAGCACAAGGGCAGGAAAGAAAUCGCACGGGUAAUACCCGUG